AGAGAGCCAAGGAGAGAAGGGCCAGGGAGGACACAGCUGGCUGGCUGCCUGAGGCCCCAGGGUCCUUCCUGGCUCCCUGUCCAGGCUCCACCCACAGUCACAGCAAUGCCUGGAACCUUCUAGGACAGCCAGAUCCUGACCUACCAGUAUGGGAUCCCCACCUCUCUCCGGAACACAGGCCAGCAGUGGGACUUCCCUAAUGGCUGGGCCCCUCUCCAGGACCUGGUCAUCAGAGGCUUGGCCAAGUCAUCUUCACCUCGGACCCAGGAAGUGGCUUUCCAGCUGGCCCAGAAUUGGAUUCGAACCAACUUUGACGUCUACUCACAAAAGUCAGCCAUGUAUGAGAAGUACGACAUCAGCAAUGGACAGCCGGGCAGUGGAGGGGAGUAUGAAGUUCAGUACCGGGAUUGAACUCAGAACCUUGUGCUUGUGAGGCAGGAAGAUGGAAGAAGAAAUGGCCCUAGAGUAUAGUCCAAACUCAGAUGAGUGGAGGGGAGUGAUUUCCUCAGCCCCUUUUUUCUAACUGCACUAGUUUGCCUGGUCCAAUGGGUUGGCCUGAUGCUCCUGGACCACUAUGGUGACCAGCUGACCUCAGAGACCCAGCUGACUCUCCUGAUGCCCCACUGCCUGGUGGCCACCUUUCUCUCCCACCUCCUGUUCAGCUUCCUGCCAUGGUGGCUAUGGUGGCCACAAGGACCGACCAGGAGGCCACAUGCCCACCUCUAUCUAUCUGCAUGUCCUCGUCUGGCUCCAGCUCCUGCCUCCGUAAACUCCUGCACUACGCUCUCUCCUCCUGCUCCCUUCAGUCACCACCUUCCAACCUGUCUUCUGCUCAUCCUGCACUGGGGGCAGGGCAGUGACCUGGAGGCCAGGGGCUUUGGCCAGGGUUCCUGCUAGAGCCCCUUUACCUCCCUCUCUCUCUCUCUCUCCCUCUUUCUAUUAUAAAUGGUGUUUGAGCGGCCACUUGGAUACAGGCUUUGUGUGAGAAAAAGCUUUAUUCUUGUCCAGGUGUGAACAGGGACUGAAAUUGGGGGCAGAUUUCAGCAGCUAGCUGGGAAGAGCCAAAUUUAUUUCAUCGAUGUGUGGAUAGGCUGACAUCAAGAGAGAGAUAGUAGCAGCUAGCUGGAAGAGAAAACUACGUUUAUAUAGGAUUUGAGAAAGGGCUGUGAUCAUAGGGAAUGUUUAUGACUGAGGGCCCAAGAACAGUCAGCAUGAAUGUGCAGACAAUCACUGGACUUCUUAGUGCCGGGGAGAUUGUAUACUUGGUCCUAAAUUUUCUUUAUGGCCAUCUGUCCUAUUUACUGAGAGUAGCCUGUUGUUUGCAGAGAAUGGCGUGUUUGCUGUGGAGUUCUCAUUUAAGCCAGGCAUGACCCUCUCUCUCUCUCUCUCUUUUUUCUUUUUCUCUUUCUUCUUUUCAGUGCUAGAGCUUGAAACCAGGGCAUCUUGCCUGCAGGCAGGUACUCUACCAGUGAGCUAUACUCCCACCCUAGAACCUUUAAUAUGGUGGAGAUCUUGCUCUGGCAGGUGGGAGGAGACUCAUACCUACUGGCCAUUGUGCCCCAGCCCCACUGCCCCCACAACCUGUCCGUUCACAUACCUACUUAGUCCAAAUACAGUGCUACCUCAAUUUACAAACUUAAUUUGUUCCACAAUCCUGGGGAAGAUGGCUGCGUUCCUGUUUAUGCAGGGAAGAUGGCCACAGUCAUGUUCAUCACCUGAUACAGAGUUCACAAAUGGAAGCAAAAUUUUGCCAAAUGCUUCUGUUUGUGAACAGAACUGUUCGCAAACAGAAGCAUUUGUGAACCAAGGUUUUACUGUAUUCUGCUGAAAUCCUCACAAAUACUGAAGAACACCCGGCCCAGCCCCAAGCAAUCUAGGUCCCCUGGCUAGGGAUGGUGGAUAGGAGAGCUGUUGCUUCAAAGGAGCUUUAGAGAAGGAGUACAUGAUGAUAAAAUAAAAACUUCUUUAUUGUGUUUGGUUUUGGGGAUCAAACCCAGGGCC
rnacentral:lncRNA from 1 species